rnacentral:tRNA from 1 species
GUCCCUUUGGUCCAGUGGUUAAGACAACGCUUUUUCAAGGCGUAAACACGGGUUCAAUUCCCGUAAGGGUGC